rnacentral:rRNA from 1 species
ACGCCUGCAUGAAGCCGGAAUUGCUAGUAAUGGCAGGUCAGCAUACUGCCGUGAAUACGUUCCCGGGCCUUGUACACACCGCCCGUCACACCAUGAGAGUUGGGGAUACCCAAAGCCCGUGAGCCAACAUUUAAUGAGGCAGCGGUCUAAGGUAGAAUCAAUGAUUGGGGUGAAGUCGUAACAAGGUAGC